GAUGAACGCUGGCGGCGUGCCUAAUACAUGCAAGUCGAGCGAACAGAUGAGGAGCUUGCUCCUCUGGCGUUAGCGGCGGACGGGUGAGUAACACGUGGAUAACCUACCUAUAAGACUGGGAUAACUUCGGGAAACCGGAGCUAAUACCGGAUAAUAUAUUGAACCGCAUGGUUCAAUAGUGAAAGACGGUUUUGCUGUCACUUAUAGAUGGAUCCGCGCCGCAUUAGCUAGUUGGUAAGGUAACGGCUUACCAAGGCAACGAUGCGUAGCCGACCUGAGAGGGUGAUCGGCCACAUUGGAACUGAGACACGGUCCAGACUCCUACGGGAGGCAGCAGUAGGGAAUCUUCCGCAAUGGGCGAAAGCCUGACGGAGCAACGCCGCGUGAGUGAUGAAGGUCUUCGGAUCGUAAAACUCUGUUAUUAGGGAAGAACAAAUGUGUAAGUAACUAUGCACGUCUUGACGGUACCUAAUCAGAAAGCCACGGCUAACUACGUG
rnacentral:rRNA from 1 species